rnacentral:rRNA from 1 species
GACGAACGCUGGCGGCGUGCUUAACACAUGCAAGUCGAACGGAAAGCCCCUGCUUUUGUUCGGUCCUCGACUGUCGAAAGGGUGAGUAACACGUGAGUAACCUCCCCUUGACUUUCUGAUAACUUCAUUAAACUGGGCCUCAUACCCCAUAUGCGCUCCUGCUGGAUGUUCUCGGUUGGAAAGUUUCAGCGGGUCGGGAUGUACUCGCGGCUUAUCAGCUUGUUGGUGGGGUAUUGGCUUACCAAGGCUUUGACGGGUAGCCGGCCUGAGAGGGUGACCGGCCACAUUGGGACUGAGAUACGGCCCAGACUCCUACGGGAGGCAGCAGUGGGGAAUAUUGCACAAUGGGCGGAAGCCUGAUGCAGCAACGCCGCGUGCGGGAUGACGGCCUUCGGGUUGUAAACCGCUUUCGCCUGGGACGAAGCGUGAGUGACGGUAAUGGGUAAAGAAGCACCGGCUAACUACGUG